CAGAGAACCUGGCUGCUUAGUACAAACAGCACCACUCAGGGACUACAGUGGGGGCAGUGAAGGUGUAACAGAGAAGCGGGUCACUAAAUUGAAGCACUGACUUCUGAACUCAGUGCUCCCUUUGCACGUGAGAAUAAUCACCGUUCUACUGUGACAAAGCGACUCAUCCUGGGAUGGAACACUGACCUUCAGACUUGUUUCUAUGUUAAACAACAUUGGAGACUAUAUGGAGCCCUGAGGGACACCAUACCGAAGUUCAGUUUUUGAAGAACAACAGUCCCUGAGAGACACCA